rnacentral:tRNA from 1 species
GCCUGGGUGGCUCAGUUGGUUGAGCGUCCGACUUCGGCUCAGGUCAUGAUCUCUCAGUUUGUGAGUUCGAGCCCCGCAUCAGGCU